AUUGAACGCUGGCGGCAUGCUUUACACAUGCAAGUCGAACGGUAACAGGCCGCAAGGUGCUGACGAGUGGCGAACGGGUGAGUAAUGCAUCGGAACGUGCCCAGUCGUGGGGGAUAACGCAGCGAAAGCUGUGCCAAUACCGCAUACGAUCUAUGGAUGAAAGCGGGGGACAGUAAGGCAUCGCGCAAUUGGAGCGGCCGAUGUCAGAUUGGGUAGUGAGUGGGGUAAAGGCCUACCGAGCCGACGAGAUGUAGCUGGUCAGAGAGGACGACCAGCCACACUGGGGCGGAGACACGGCCCAGACGCCUACGGGAGAGAGCAGUGGGGAAUUUUGGACAAGGGGCGCAAGCCUGAUUCAGCAAUGCCGCGUGCAGGAAGAAGGCCUUCGGGUUGUAAACUGCUUUUUUACGGAACGAAAAGGUCUGGGUUAAUACCCUGGGCCGAUGACGGUACCGUAAGAAUAAGCACCGGCUAACUACGUGCCAGCCGCCGCAGUAAUAC
rnacentral:rRNA from 1 species